GUCCUCAUUAGCUGGUGAUACUGCAUGCUCUGACGUGGACACCUCUCCAUCAACCUGUGGACAAGGAUUAAUCCUGUCUGUCUGCUCCUUCUUAGCCUCCCAGAGGCGGGGCAUAACUUCAGAUGAGCUGGCAUUUGAAUGAAAUCCAGGGUUUUGUUUUCCGCUGUGGAACAGAGCAGGAAGGAAUGUGUUUAUAUCAAGGCCCCAAGCACUACCUCAGAACUCUUCAGCGCCACCCGCCACCCGCAGGCUGGGGUGGAGGUGUCGGAACGUGUGUGGGCGGAGGUGUGAGGUCAGAGGGUGCAGUGGAGUUCUCAGGUUGACAUCACUGACUUGUCACCUAGUUUGGGUGCUAGACACAGGUGGCGCUGAUGGAGUGGCCGUGGGGGGCUGUGGGGUUUUGCUUCGAGGCACGGAGGCUGCAGAGGAAGAGAUGAGCUCUGCGUAGGCACACAGCAGAGUGAAACACAAGCACCCGAAGAGGAGUUCAGAAAAGGGCUUUUGUCCUGGCCGUGGCAGACUGCAUUCCAGGGCCACUGGCCCUCGUACUUCUGGUCUCGGGCUUUUAAAGACCUUCUGGCCACUCUCCUGAAAGUCCACUGGCUACCCACCUUAGUUUGGAAGGGAAAACAAAACCAGCACCUGCCUGAGAGAAGUAGAACAUUAUUCCUGCCUCCAUUGUCUCAGUAGUGAUUUAUGGAGCUUCUGUAGACCCGAACUACGUUUGCUGCUUCUUUGUCCUUGGCUUUCGUGGUGACCUGGCAUGCGGGAGACCUCAGUUGAAAGCGGACAAAUGAAGAAUAAACAAAUGAAUGAAGGAAGGAAUGAGUGAUAAAGAUGAGCCUACCAGCUGCAAAGUCCGCAGCAGAGAGACAGCAGGGGGCAAUAUCCAGAGUCUCAAUCACCAGUCAGCCACCUGCUGGAGAAGAGUCAGGGGGACACCUAUGCUCUGAGCACAUAUUGGCUCCUAUUCUGAGCCAGUUCCACCCAGGAAGAAGUCCAGCUCCUACAUGGGUGACAGCUGUUUUUCCUCUGUGACUUGACUUUCCCAGGAGUCUGUCCAGGGAAUUUGGAGAUGGCAUCAGAGAGUGACAGGGUGAGUGGAAGCACAUUUUCUUAAAGAAUAGAAACUUACCUUUUCAAAAUGGCUAGAUGAUACCUUUUAAGAACAACUUACAUGGGCCUAAAGGUAUGAUCUCAACAUUUCUUCAUCAGGCUUUGUGUGUGUGGAGAAAUACCUUAAUGAAAUGUUGACUCCUGAUCAUUCCUCUUGAAGAAAUGCAUCUGCUGUGUGACUUUCUCAGGUCACUUCAUCCGUCUGAGGUGAGCAUUCUCAUCUUUAGAAGGAGGAAGGUUUAACUGUGCACGGUCCGUGCUACAGGGCUGAGUGUGUGUCUGUAUUUGUGUGUGUGUGUAUUUGUGUGUGUGUGUAUUUGUGUGUCUGUCUGUAUUUGUGUGUGUGUCUGUAUUUGUGUGUCUGUAUACAUACACAUACACAUAUUUUAGGAUAGGGAAAAUGAGCUCACUAUUCUGAAAGGAUGUUUUCUUCUUUGUCUCUUUUCUACA
ensembl:lncRNA